rnacentral:rRNA from 1 species
CUUGACACUGGACAUUGAGCCUUGAUGUGUAGGAUAGGUGGGAGGCUUUGAAGUGUGGACGCCAGUCUGCAUGGAGCCGACCUUGAAAUACCACCCUUUAAUGUUUGAUGUUCUAACGUGGACCCGUAAUCCGGGUUGCGGACAGUGUCUGGUGGGUAGUUUGACUGGGGCGGUCUCCUCCUAAAGAGUAACGGAGGAGCACGAAGGUUGGCUAAUCCUGGUCGGACAUCAGGAGGUUAGUGCAAUGGCAUAAGC